ACUCAGCUGACGAGUCUUAAAUAGGACGAAACGCACGUCCUAGAU
rnacentral:hammerhead_ribozyme from 1 species